GGCUUCUUGGUGGAAUGGUACCACACUUCCCUUCCAUUGGAAGAGGAAGAGGACUGGGUUCAAAUCCCGGAGAGGUCC